rnacentral:rRNA from 1 species
GAUGAACGCUGGCGGCGUGCCUAAUACAUGCAAGUCGAGCGAACGGACGAGAAGCUUGCUUUUCUGAUGUUAGCGGCGGACGGGUGAGUAACACGUGGAUAACCUACCUAUAAGACUGGGAUAACUUCGGGAAACCGGAGCUAAUACCGGAUAAUAUUUUGAACCGCAUGGUUCAAAAGUGAAAGACGGUCUUGCUGUCACUUAUAGAUGGAUCCGCGCUGCAUUAGCUAGUUGGUAAGGUAACGGCUUACCAAGGCAACGAUGCAUAGCCGACCUGAGAGGGUGAUCGCCCACACGGGAACUGAGACACGGUCCAGACUCCUACGGGAGGCAGCAGUAGGGAAUCUUCCGCAAUGGGCGAAAGCCUGACGGAGCAACGCCGCGUGAGUGAUGAAGGUCUUCGGAUCGUAAAACUCUGUUAUUAGGGAAGAACAUAUGUGUAAGUAACUGUGCACAUCUUGACGGUACCUAAUCAGAAAGCCACGGCUAACUACGUG